GACGUAGGGCGCGAGCGUUGUCCGGAUUUAUUGGGCGUAAAGAGCUCGUAGGCGGCUUGUUGCGUCAGCUGUGAAAACCCGCAGCUCAACUGUGGGCUUGCAGCUGAUACGGGCAGGCUUGAGUUCGGUAGGGGAGACUGGAAUUCCUGGUGUAGCGGUGAAAUGCGCAGAUAUCAGGAGGAACACCAGUGGCGAAGGCGACUACCUGGCCCAUUCUUGACGCUGAGGCGCGAAAGCUAGGGGAGCGAACGGG
rnacentral:rRNA from 1 species